ACAACAACAUUGGAAUCGUCGGUCUACCGAGCAUUAUCACCCGUUCAGUGGAAGAUCUUCCCUUUGUCGUAUACC
rnacentral:pre_miRNA from 1 species